rnacentral:lncRNA from 1 species
UAAAUAAAACUAAAAUAAAUUAUAACGUGGGUAAUAGGGUUCAAGCCAGCUACCACCUAGGUGUGUUAUGAGUGCUGUCUUGAGUUCUUCCAAAAAAAUCUGUCACGUUUUCUCUCAUGAGUCGUCAUACUCAUCUCUGCGUCAUUCUUUCUCACCAGUCUUUGGUCGACCUGAAUUUCCUUUAUUCCACUUUCUUCAUUAUUAUUCAGAUGUGUUCUUCAAACAUCAAAAGAUCUAGUACACAGGCAAGAACAGUGCGGACACUGGGUACACAUAUUUUAUAUCUGUUCAUAUCUGCAAAAGAUUUACAUAUCAUUGCCUUUUCAGACAUAUUUGGCUGAAAUACGUGUGGUGUAUAGAUAGAUGGAUAGAUAGAAGCAUGGCAAGUAUCAAGUAUGGUGAUGUUGAUGAACAGAGAAGAACGCAAGUGAAGUAAACCUCUCGGCGUCUAAGCGUAGAGCUCAUGCUUGGACAGCCUCGGCGUCGGCACGGCCACCAGCGGCGUCGCCUUCUUCAUCACGAUGCUGAACCUCUCGGCCAGCUCCAGCCGCUCGCCGGCCGGC